rnacentral:rRNA from 1 species
GCGGUACUCUGACCGUGCAAAGGUAGCAUAAUCAUUUGCCUUAUAAUUGAAGGCUUGUAUGAAUGGUUUGACAAGAAUGAAGCUGUCUCUUUAUAACUAAUUUGAAUUUUAUUUAUAGGUGAAGAAGCCUAUAUUAUAUUGAAAGACAAGAAGACCCUAUCGAGCUUUAAAAAAAUUAAUAAAUUAAAAACUAAUAUUAAAAAUAUAAAUUUCAUUAUUAAGUCAUUUUAGUUGGGGCGACUGAGGAACAAACAAAGCUUCCUGUAAAAAUAUUAAUACAUUCAAGUACUGAUCCAAAAGUUUUGAUUAAAGAAACUAGUUACCGUAGGGAUAACAGCAUUAUCUUUUUUGAGAGUUCUUAUCGAAAAAAAGGUUUGUGACCUCGAUGUUGGACCAGAAUAUCCUAAAGAUGCAGCUGUCUUUAAGGGUUGGUCUGUUCGACCAUUAAAAUUCU